rfam:Sarcophilus harrisii ctg7180001394101, whole genome shotgun sequence.
GAGAACUUAGCUUAAUUAAAGUGUUCAAUUUGCGUUUGAGUGAUGCAAGUUAAAGUCUUGUAGUUCUUA